rnacentral:rRNA from 2 species
UUAGAUUAAGUUAUUAAGGGCGCACGGUGGAUGCCUUGGCACUAGAAGCCGAAGAAGGACGUUACUAACGACGAUAUGCUUUGGGGAGCUGUAAGUACGCUUUGAUCCAGAGAUUUCCGAAUGGGGAAACCCAGCAUGAGUUAUGUCAUGUUAUCUGCAUAUGAAUACAUAGUAUGUAAGAAGGCACACCCGGAGAACUGAAACAUCUUAGUACCCGGAGGAAGAGAAAGAAAACUCGAUUCCCUGAGUAGCGGCGAGCGAAACGGGAAUAGCCCAAACCAACAGGCUUGCCUGUUGGGGUUGUAGGACACUCAACACGGAGUUACAAAGGAAAUAAUUAGACGAAUGGUUUUGGAAAAACCAACCAUAGAAGGUAAAAGUCCUGUAGUCGAAAGUUAUUUCUCUCCUGAGUGGAUCCUGAGUACGGCGGAACACGUGAAAUUCCGUCGGAAUCUGGGAGGACCAUCUCCCAAGGCUAAAUACUCUCUAGUGACCGAUAGUGAACCAGUACCGUGAGGGAAAGGUGAAAAGCACCCCGGAAGGGGAGUGAAAUAGAACCUGAAACCGUGUGCUUACAAAUAGUCAGAGCCCGUUAAUGGGUGAUGGCGUGCCUUUUGUAGAAUGAACCGGCGAGUUACGAUUUGAUGCAAGGUUAAGCAGUAAAUGUGGAGCCGUAGCGAAAGCGAGUCUGAAUAGGGCGAAUGAGUAUCUGGUCGUAGACCCGAAACCAAGUGAUCUACCCAUGUCCAGGUUGAAGUUCAGGUAACACUGAAUGGAGGACCGAACCGACUUACGUUGAAAAGUGAGCGGAUGAGGUGUGGGUAGCGGAGAAAUUCCAAUCGAACUUGGAGAUAGCUGGUUCUCUCCGAAAUAGCUUUAGGGCUAGCCUCAAGUGAUGAUUAUUGGAGGUAGAGCACUGUUUGGACGAGGGGCCCCUCUAGGGUUACCGAAUUCAGACAAACUCCGAAUGCCAAAUAAUUUAACUUGGGAGUCAGACUAUGGGUGAUAAGGUCCAUAGUCGAAAGGGAAACAGCCCAGACCACCAGCUAAGGUCCCAAAAUAUAUGUUAAGUGGAAAAGGAUGUGGCGUUGCCCAGACAACUAGGAUGUUGGCUUAGAAGCAGCCAUCAUUUAAAGAGUGCGUAAUAGCUCACUAGUCGAGUGACACUGCGCCGAAAAUGUACCGGGGCUAAACAUAUUACCGAAGCUGUGGAUUAUCCGUAAGGAUAAUGGUAGGAGAGCGUUCUAAACGUGUCGAAGCAUGAUCGUAAGGACAUGUGGAAUGUUUAGAAGUGAGAAUGCCGGUGUGAGUAGCGAAAGAUGGGUGAGAAUCCCAUCCACCGAUUGACUAAGGUUUCCAGAGGAAGGCUCGUCCGCUCUGGGUUAGUCGGGACCUAAGCCGAGGCCGAUAGGCGUAGGCGAUGGACAACAGGUAGAUAUUCCUGUACCACCUAUUUUUGUUUGAACGAUGGGGGGACGCAGUAGGAUAGGCGAAGCGUGCUGUUGGAGUGCACGUCCAAGCAACAAGACUGAGUGUUAGGCAAAUCCGGCACUCUUAAGGUUGAGUUGUGAUGGGGAGCUGGAUCAUGUAUCCGGCGAGUCGUUGAUUUCACACUGCCAAGAAAAGCCUCUAGUUAGAAAUUAGGUGCCCGUACCGCAAACCGACACAGGUAGUCAAGAUGAGAAUUCUAAGGUGAGCGAGCGAACUCUCGUUAAGGAACUCGGCAAAAUGACCCCGUAACUUCGGGAGAAGGGGUGCUUUUUAGGGUGCAAGCCUUGAAGAGCCGCAGUGAAUAGGCCCAAGCGACUGUUUAUCAAAAACACAGGUCUCUGCUAAACCGUAAGGUGAUGUAUAGGGGCUGACGCCUGCCCGGUGCUGGAAGGUUAAGAGGAGUGGUUAGCUUCUGGCGAAGCUACGAAUCGAAGCCCCAGUAAACGGCGGCCGUAACUAUAACGGUCCUAAGGUAGCGAAAUUCCUUGUCGGGUAAGUUCCGACCCGCACGAAAGGCGUAACGAUUUGGGCACUGUCUCAACGAGAGACUCGGUGAAAUCAUAGU